rnacentral:tRNA from 1 species
GCCGGAGUGGCGGAACAGGCAGACGCAAGGGACUUAAAAUCCCUCGGCCCACCAUGGCCGUACCGGUUCGAUUCCGGUCUCCGGCA